rnacentral:ncRNA from 2 species
AUAGUCGCACAACUCCGAGCGCUUUUAAGCUAAGACUUGCAUGUUAAGCUUACUGCGCCGAUAGGGUUUAAAAGGAAACUUUUGAGCCUCCCGGAUGGAAAGGAGUGAUCGAUAUGGAUUG